CUCUUAUCCAGAGAGGUGGAGGGACUGGCCCGAUGAAACCCGGCAACCGCCUUAAUUCAAAGGAAUGGUGCCAAUUCCUGCAGAGGAGAAUUUCUUCUGACAGAUAAGAG
rfam:Desulfotomaculum sp. 46_80 MPI_scaffold_84, whole genome shotgun sequence.